rnacentral:rRNA from 1 species
UACGUAGGGGCCAAGCGUUGUCCGGAUUUAUUGGGCGUAAAGAGCUCGUAGGCGGUCUGUCGCGUCUGCUGUGAAACUCAGGGCUUAACCCUGAGCUUGCAGUGGGUACGGGCAGACUAGAGUGCGGUAGGGGAGACUGGAAUUCCUGGUGUAGCGGUGAAAAUGCGCAGAUAUCAGGAGGAACACCGGUGGCGAAGGCGGGUCUCUGGGCCGUAACUGACGCUGAGGCACGAAAGCGUGGGGAGCAAACAGG